rnacentral:lncRNA from 1 species
CGGCAGCCCAGCACUCCGAUGGGAGCUUGCCUGAUUGUCAACCCAUCGGCCUGGACCCCAGAGCCCACCCAGUUGAGCGUGUGCAGAGGGCCCCGAGUGCGGGGCGACGCUCAGGCCGUUGCAGAGACCACCCUGGAGAUGCUGAUGAAGACAGGCCUUUCCUGCUGAGCCCAGCCUAUCUUCGCAGCCUGCUCAGGCGCUGUCCACGCCCCGAGGCCUGGGCUCAGGCCGAAGUUGCUCCACAGCACCCCCAGCUGACAGCCAGCGACUGGCAGAGCCCCCAGGCACGGGGGCCCUCUCUCUUCCAGAGAUCUCCAGUGUGACAGCCCAGGCGGCAGAGCCGAGGGUGAGUGGUGGGGGUUCUCCUGGAGCCCUUUCGGGGUAAGAAGGAGGGAGGCCGUGCCCUUGUUAGAACUUCCUGGCCUUCUCCUUAAGUUUGAUCACCCUGCUGAUGUGCUUCCCUCUCAAAGGCAGGGGUCCUGUUCUUCCUGAGUGCAUAGCCAGAUUCCCA